CGUUUCCUUCCAUUUCUUAUAUAUUCCCUUGCUUCCUUCCAUAAAUAACAUACCGUCCUCUAGCCUGGAGCUCGUGACGACAUUGCUUCUCUGUUAGCCCCUCGAAAAGAAAUAACUGCCACCGAUUCUCUCUCUCUCUCUCUCCCACUGUGAGGUUUAGGACAUGGCGAAGAAUAUUCUGGUCACCGGUGGUGCUGGUUACAUUGGGAGUCACACUGUCCUUCAACUCCUUUUAGGCGGUUACUCCGCCGUUGUUGUUGAUAAUCUUGAUAAUUCUAACGCUGUUGCUCUCGAAAGAGUCAAGGAAAUCGCCGGCAAACACUCCAAAAAUCUCUCCUUUCACCAGGUUGACCUCCGGGACAGGCCAGCUCUGGAAAAAGUUUUCUCUAAAACAAAAUUUGAUGCUGUCAUCCACUUUGCUGGGCUCAAGGCAGUUGGUGAGAGUGUGGAGAAGCCAUUGCUUUAUUUUGAUAACAAUCUUAUUGGUACAAUUACAUUACUGGAAGUAAUGGCUGCCCAUGGAUGCAAGAAGCUUGUGUUUUCUUCAUCAGCUACUGUUUAUGGGUGGCCAAAGGAGGUUCCAUGUACAGAACAAUUCCCUCUAUCUGCAGCAAACCCAUAUGGUAGAACCAAGCUUUUCAUUGAAGAGAUUUGUCGUGAUAUCUACCGCUCAGAUUCUGAAUGGAAGAUCAUAUUGUUAAGAUACUUCAAUCCUGUUGGUGCGCAUCCUAGUGGCCAAAUUGGUGAGGAUCCCCGUGGAAUUCCAAACAAUCUCAUGCCCUACGUGCAGCAGGUUGCUGUUGGCAGGCGUCCUCAUCUGACAGUCUUCGGAAGUGACUAUUCAACCAAGGAUGGCACCGGGGUACGAGACUAUAUUCAUGUUGUUGACUUAGCAGAUGGUCACAUUGCUGCAUUGCAAAAGCUCUCUGAUGCCAAAGUUGUGAGGUAUAUAACCUGGGAACAGGGAAAGGAACAUCAGUUUUGGAGAUGGUUACAGCAUUCGAAAAGGCAUCUGGAAAGAAAAUACCUCUUGUAAUGGCUGGAAGGCGUCCUGGUGAUGCUGGAAUUGUUUAUGCAUCGACGGAGAAGGCAGAACGUGAAUUGAAUUGGAAGGCAAAGUAUGGUAUUGAUGAGAUGUGCAGGGAUCAAUGGAACUGGGCCAGCAAGAACCCUUAUGGCUAUGGAUCUCCUGAGACCACUAAAUGAAAAAGAUUAAAUGUGUUACUUGUCUUCGCACCCUUGUUGUCAUGCUUAUAAGGCCUUCAGUGAUUAGGUGUAACCGUGUAAGCUGAUAAACAGUGUGGUGAUACCAUCCCCAAAUAAGCUUGCCCACACAGCUCCUAGAUAUAUGUACAUAAAUCCAAUUAGGUUUCCCUCUUACAAAACACCCUUGUGGUUUCUUACUUGAGGGCUCAAUUCUUCUGAAUUGAUUAGUGGCUAAACUUUUUACUUUUCAAUGAGUAAAUACCACUGAGUUUAUAAUCA